rnacentral:misc_RNA from 1 species
AACGUGCGAAGGAUCCUAGGCAGAUGAUGCAAAGCAGGGGACCGUUCACCUCGAACAGCAGCAACGCGGGUCCCGGUGCAGUUUGUCAUCCGACGGACGGCUUGAUCGUCGAGUUUUGUCAUAAAAUCAAAACCCGCCGCGGAUCAAACCAAGAAGUAACCACCCUUUCAGCCAGUUCGCUUGAAGAGCCGAUCGCUGAGAACGAGUAGGGUGCGGCCACCACCUUAUAAUAAUCAAAUGGAACUUGGGUGCAAGGCAAAAGUAAUCUCGGCAAUCGAUAUUUUGAGUAUUUAAACAAAAAGGAUCUUGGGAAAGGAAAAUUCAGGUUUUGAAUUGGAGAAGAACGUAGCGAAAUGCGAUACUUGGUGUGAAUUGCAGAAUCCCGUGAACCAUCGAGUUUUUGAACGCAAGUUGCGCCCAAAGCCAUUAGGCCGAGGGCACGUCUGCCUGGGAGUCACGCAUCGCGUCGCCACCCCCUGCCACCCAUCUCUCGAGUUAGGUGCGGGGGUGACGGAUGUUGGCCUCCCGUGAAACCCUUGUGGCGCGGUUGGCCUAAAUGCAAGACUCUGGCUGGCUAGAGGACACAACGAGUGGUGGUUGAAUUCUUUGUCAACUGGAGCGGCGUUGUCGUCCAAGAGCCACGUCGGAAAUCACGACGUUCGUAGACCCAAGUGCCAAA